GGAUGUGAGGGCAAUUUGGCUGCGACAUCUGUCACCCCAUUGAUCGCCAGGGUUGAUUCAGCUGAUCUGGCUGGCUAGGCAGGUGUCCCCUUCCUCCCUCACCGCUCCAUGUGCAUCACUCCCGAAGCUGCGCCCUCGGUGGAAGAGGACAGCCUUCCCCGAAUAGAGACGGACUGGUCUUCGGUCAAGGGUAUACGAGUAGCUGUGCUCCCCUGCUAGAACCUCCAAACAAGCUCUCAAGAAACACAGAGGAAGGGGAAACAGGAGCUAGGGCUGCAGUGCACCUGGCUGAGCACACAUUA
rnacentral:snRNA from 1 species